rnacentral:rRNA from 1 species
ACAUGCCUAUAGCAUAACAUUAAUGCAUUGGAUCCCAUUAUAAAUACACAGUUAAGCACACUCAUUCUAGAGUAGUACUAGAAUGGGUGACCGCCCGGGAAGUCCUAGUGUUUUACAUGCU